rnacentral:rRNA from 1 species
UACGUAGGGGGCAAGCGUUGUCCGGAUUUAUUGGGCGUAAAGCGCUCGCAGGCGGCUUGAUACGUCGUGCGUGAAACACCCCGGCUCAACUGGGGAGGGUCGUGCGAUACGGUCAGGCUUGAGGCCAGUAGGGGGAUGCGGAAUUCCGGGGUGUAGUGGUGGAAUGCGUAGAGAUCCGGAGGAACACCAGCGGCGAAGGCGGUUCUCUGGGCCUUACCUGACGCUGA